AGUGAACGCUGGCGGUAGGCCUAACACAUGCAAGUCGAACGGCAGCACAGUAAGAGCUUGCUCUUACGGGUGGCGAGUGGCGGACGGGUGAGGAAUACAUCGGAAUCUACUUUUUCGUGGGGGAUAACGAAGGGAAACUUACGCUAAUACCGCAUACGACCUACGGGUGAAAGCAGGGGAUCUUCGGACCUUGCGCGAUUGAAUGAGCCGAUGUCGGAUUAGCUAGUUGGCGGGGUAAAGGCCCACCAAGGCGAGGAUCGGUAGCUGGUCUGAGAGGAUGAUCGGCCACAUUGGAACUUGGACACGGUCCAGACGCCUACGGGAGGCAGCAGUGGGGAAUAUUGGACAGUGGGCGCAAGCCUGAUCCAGCCAUACCGCGUGGGUGAAGAAGGCCUUCGGGUUGUAAAGCCCUUUUGUUGGGAAAGAAAAGCAGCAGGUUAAUACCCCGCUGUUCUGACGGUACCCAAAGAAUAAGCACCGGCUAACUUCGUG
rnacentral:rRNA from 1 species